rnacentral:rRNA from 1 species
GACGAAGGAUGCAAGCGUUAUCCGGAUUCAUUGGGUUUAAAGGGAGCGUAGGCGGAUUUGUAAGUCAGUGGUGAAAUCUCCGGGCUCAACCCGGAAACUGCCAUUGAUACUGCAGGUCUAGAGUACAGUUGCCGUUGGCGGAAUAUGACAUGUAGUGGUGAAAUACUUAGAUAUGUCAUAGAACACCGAUUGCGAAGGCAGCUAACGAAGCUGUAACUGACGCUGAGGCUCGAAAGUGCGGGGGAUCAAACAGG